AGCCAGCGUCUUCCUCCCUUUCCAGUUGGUCUGUGAGCUAUUUGAGUUUGGUAUUGGGGGGUACACAUGGGGAGCACAUGUGCCGCUUGUAUGUGUGUGUGUGUGUGUGAAGGAUGAGCAUGUAUGAGCACAUGGGACGCCUGGGGGGACAUGUAUGAGUACAUGUGGUGCUUGUGUGUGUGUGUGUGUGUGGGUGCACAGUGGGCACAUAUGCAACUUGUGGGGGGGAUAUGCAUGUGAGGGGAGAUGUAUAUGUGUGAAUACUCACUAUGCUUGUAUGUGUGUGUAGAAGUACAUGUGUUAGCAUGUGUGUGAUGUGCAUGUAUGAUACAUGUGCUGCUUCACAUGUGUGCCAGUUGUAGGGGGUGUACAUGUGAGGGGAGAUAUAUGUGUGACACAUGUGCUGCUUGUGUGUGUGUGUGUGUGUGUAUGUGUGUGUGUGAAGGAUGUGCAUGUGUUAACAUCUGCUACUUGUGUGUGUGAUUCACAUGUGUGAGCACAUGUGCCACUUGUGUGAGGGUGGGUGUACAAUGUGCAUGCGUGAGCUUGUGCAUGUGUCACUUGUGUAUGUGUGUGUGUGUGAAGGGUGUGCAUUUGUUAGCACGUGCCACUUGUGUGUCUCUGUGUGUGUUAUGUACAUGUGUGUGUGAUGCUCACUUGUGUGAGGGCGGGUGUACAAUGUGCAUGUGUGAGCUUGCGCAUGUGUCACUUGUAUGUGUGUGUGUGGAGGACAGGGGGCACCUUGGAGUCAGCUCUCUCCCUCCACUGUAUGGGUCCCUGGCACUGAAGUCAGGCAACCAGGAUUGGCAACAAGUGUCUCUGCUCACUAGACCAUUUUGCCAGCCUUCUCCACUUCAUUGUUUUUGAGACAGGGCUCUCUCCCUGAACCCGAGAGCUCAGUGAUUCAGCUAUGUCGGCUGGUCAGCAAGCCUCAGGGAUUCUCUUGUCUCUACCUUUCCCAAGAAUUACAGACACAUACCACCUCGUCCAGGGUUGUACGUGAGCACUGGUGAUCUGAACUGAGUUUUUGUGACUAUACAGCAAUCAUGUUAGCAAUGGAGGCCCUUGCAGCAGGCCCCCAGCCCUGAACUCUCUGGCCAUAGAGAUAUUCUAGAGGAAGGGGAGGUGGCUGUGACCCUACCACAUUCCUGAUUCUCCACCCCUCCCUCUCUGUGUUCAUGGUUUUGGCAUGUGACCUAGCAGCUGCUCCUGUCAACAGACAGACUCAGCAUGCUCCCCCUUCGUUCCUGGACUGGCCUUUCACUGCUUUGACCAUCAACAGGCACAGGGCGCGAUGGUGUGCGAUUCUAAGUCUGGGUUUUCAGGGGGCUAUGUGUGCCUCACCCUAAUCUCUUGGAUUUUGACUCUGCCUUGCAAAGGAGCUCAGGUUCAGACAGAAUAAAGCUGAGUAAUUCAAGGCCAUCUUGGACCAAGCAGCUCCCAGAUGACCAACGCCACACAAGUUAGCCUAGCCGAGCAAGGCUCUACCACACAUCAAGGCACAUCAGAAAGAACACAUGCCUUUGCUUGUCAGUACUGAGUCUCAGGGUGCUUUGUUACACAGCAGUAGCUAACUGUUACACUGAGUUCAGCAUUCCAAAGAAUGAGGAGGCGUCUGAGGCCCGAGGAGGAACAAGGCCUUUCUUAAAAUUACACCUACCGGGUGAGAAGCACUCACCCAGGGCCUGUCCAAUGAUACCAAUUACUGGUCCUUUUUCAGGAAGCCCUGUUUCUCAUAUUAGCUAAGCCGUUAGCCCUCAGGUUCUGAACAAAGGGCAGGAGCAGGUGCGUGAAGGCCGCUGAGCAGCUAUAACAAGGGUCAACUCUAUCUCAGCAUUUCCCAGCUGGUUACCUCUGAGAUGAGAGAUCUGUUCUCAGGAAGCCAUUAGGUUCCCUGAAAUCAUCUCAUUCUCUGACCCGAAAACCAAACCGCAGUGGCCUUUCCCCAAUCGGAGAAAACUUGUAGAAAUCAAUAGGAAUUUUUAAUAUUAGCAGUAAUCUUUAAGGGGCGUGCGGAGCUGUGUUCGGCGCACAGUAAGCGUUCAAUAAACGUUACUGAUUGCUAUUAUUGUGUUCACCCACAAAUUAUUCUGAGACCUUUUGUGCCUGUUACCAUUCAUCAGCCAGCAGGCCAGGUGAAUGAAUAAUGGCCACAGCUCAGGGAGGCCACCCCUUUACACGUGUCUGGAGACACCAGACCUAUCUUAUAGAAGAGGAAACACAGGCCUGUGGUUAGAGAAGCUGUGGGGAUACCAGGGAGCCUGCCCUGACCCCAUUCCAGCUGUCGGACUCGGACAGGAGGCUCGCCCUGUUCUGGAGCCCACAGCAUGAUGG
rnacentral:lncRNA from 1 species